rnacentral:rRNA from 1 species
AUUGAACGCUGGCGGCAGGCCUAACACAUGCAAGUCGAACGCGUGGCGGACGGGUGAGUAAUGUCUGGGAAACUGCCCGAUGGAGGGGGAUAACUACAGGAAACGGUAGCUAAUAUCGCAUACCAUCGGAUGUGCCCCGAUGGGAUUAGCUAGUAGGUGGGGUAACGGCUCACCUAGGCGACGAUCCCUAGCUGGUCUGAGAGGAUGACCAGCCACACUGGAACUGAGACACGGUCCAGAUUCCUACGGGAGGCAGCAGUGGGGAAUAUUGCACAAUGGGCGCAAGCCUGAUGCAGCCAUGCCGCGUGUAGGAAGAAGGCCUUCGGGUUGUAAGGUACUUUCAGCGAGGAGGCGUUACUCGCAGAAGAGGCACCGGCUAACUCCGUGCCAGCAGCCGCGGUAAUUC